UACGUAGGGUGCAAGCGUUGUCCGGAAUUAUUGGGCGUAAAGAGCUCGUAGGCGGUUUGUCGCGUCUGCUGUGAAAACUCAGGGCUUAACUCUGAGCUUGCAGUGGGUACGGGCAGACUAGAGUGCGGUAGGGGGAGACUGGAAUUCCUGGUGUAGCGGUGGAAUGCGCAGAUAUCUGGAGGAACACCGGUGGCGAAGGCGGCAUCCUGGACCGGUAUUGACGCUGAGGCGCGAAAGCCAGGGGGAGCAAACGGGG
rnacentral:rRNA from 1 species